rnacentral:rRNA from 1 species
ACGUACACUCCUACGGGAGGCAGCAGUGGGGAAUAUUGGACAAUGGGCGCAAGCCUGAUCCAGCCAUGCCGCGUGAGUGAUGAAGGCCCUAGGGUUGUAAAGCUCUUUCACCGGUGAAGAUAAUGACGGUAACCGGAGAAGAAGCCCCGGCUAACUUCGUGCCAGCAGCCGCGGUAAUACGAAGGGGGCUAGCGUUGUUCGGAUUUACUGGGCGUAAAGCGCACGUAGGCGGACUAUUAAGUCAGGGGUGAAAUCCCGGGGCUCAACCCCGGAACUGCCUUUGAUACUGGUAGUCUUGAGUUCGAGAGAGGUGAGUGGAAUUCCGAGUGUAGAGGUGAAAUUCGUAGAUAUUCGGAGGAACACCAGUGGCGAAGGCGGCUCACUGGCUCGAUACUGACGCUGAGGUGCGAAAGCGUGGGGAGCAAACAGGAUUAGAAACCCUUGUAGUCCCAU